rnacentral:rRNA from 1 species
GAAAAGGAUUUAUUCGCUUCAGGAUGGACUCGCGUCCAAUUAGCUAGUUGGUGAGGUAACGGCCCACCAAGGCGACGAUUGGUAGCCGGACUGAGAGGUUGAACGGCCACAUUGGGACUGAGACACGGCCCAGACUCCUACGGGAGGCAGCAGUGGGGGAUAUUGCACAAUGGGGGAAACCCUGAUGCAGCGACGCCGCGUGGAGGAAGAAGGUUUUCGGAUUGUAAACUCCUGUCGUUAGGGACGAUAAUGACGGUACCUAACAAGAAAGCACCGGCUAACUACGUGCCAGCAGCCGCGGUAAAACGUAGGGUGCAAGCGUUGUCCGGAAUUACUGGGUGUAAAGGGAGCGCAGGCGGACCGGCAAGUUGGAAGUGAAAACUAUGGGCUCAACCCAUAAAUUGCUUUCAAAACUGCUGGCCUUGAGUAGUGCAGAGGUAGGUGGAAUUCCCGGUGUAGCGGUGGAAUGCGUAGAUAUCGGGAGGAACACCAGUGGCGAAGGCGACCUACUGGGCACCAACUGACGCUGAGGCUCGAAAGCAUGGGUAGCAAACAGGAUUAGAUACCCUGGUAGUCCAUGCCGUAAACGAUGAUUACUAGGUGUUGGAGGAUUGACCCCU